rnacentral:rRNA from 1 species
GACCAGACUCCUACGGGAGGCAGCAGUGGGGAAUAUUGCACAAUGGGGGAAACCCUGAUGCAGCGACGCCGCGUGAGUGAAGAAGUAUUUCGGUAUGUAAAGCUCUAUCAGCAGGAACGAGACAAGACGGUACCUGACUAAGAAGCCCCGGCUAACUACGUGCCAGCAGCCGCGGUAAUACGUAGGGGGCAAGCGUUAUCCGGAUUUACUGGGUGUAAAGGGAGCGUAGACGGCAGCACAAGUCUGGAGUGAAAUCCCGGGGCUUAACCCCGGAACUGCUUUGGAAACUGUGCGGCUGGAGUGCAGGAGGGGUAAGCGGAAUUCCUAGUGUAGCGGUGAAAUGCGUAGAUAUUAGGAGGAACACCGGUGGCGAAGGCAGCCUGCCGCAGCGUUACUGACGCUGAAGCUCGAAAGCGCGGGUAUCGAACAGGAUUAGAUACCCCGGUAAC